GUGGAGAAUUAGAACCACUGCCUGCCCUAGUUGAGCAUGACUUUCAGCAAGAGGAUCACAGGGGUAUAAGCCAAACAUCAAAGACUAUUACAGAGCUGUAUCACUGCAUGUGAACAGGCGGAGUCUUUACGAACUAUGGAUCAAAUCCACAGAUGCUGAACUCUUGGAUACAGAGGGCCAACUGUGCACAGCAUAUGGGAUCUUAGUUCCCUGGCCAGGGAUCAAACCAGUGCCCCCUGCACUGAAGGCACUGGAAGCUUAGAGUCAACGACUAGACCUCCAGGGAAGUCCCUUAGUUGGUGUCUUUGAGCAAGAAGCUUUAAAAGAAGUGGAAAGAAGCACUGGAAGAGGGUUAGGAAAAUAGGAAAAUGUGAUCUAUUUUUCAGAAAAAGGCUUUCUAAAAACUUUAAUGGAGGAAACAAGUAAAGUCUCAUUCCCCAAUUUAUACAGACCUCCAUAAUUUAUAUCUUGCCAUUACAUGUAUCAUCAUCUAUUGCCUGAAUAAUUAAAAAGAGUUGG